rnacentral:sRNA from 1 species
GAUAUUACACUGUCAAAACUUUACAAGUUAAUUGAAGAGUCUUGUCCACAGCUGGCAAAUUCAGUGCAGAUCAGAAUCAAACUGAUGGCUGAAGGCGAGUUGAAGGAUAUGGAACAGUUUUUUGAUGACCUUUCAGAUUCUUUCUCUGGAACUGAACCAGAGGUUCACAAAACAAGUGUAGUAGGUUUGUUUCUGCGUCACAUGAUCUUGGCCUACAGUAAGCUUUCUUUCAGCCAAGUGUUUAAACUGUACACUGCCCUUCAGCAGUACUUCCAGAAUGGUGAGAAAAAGACAGUGGAGGAUGCUGAUAUGGAACUGACCAGUAGAGAUGAGGGUGAAAGAAAAAUGGAAAAAGAAGAACUUGAUGUAUCUGUAAGAGAAGAGGAGGUAUCUUGCAGUGGGCCUCUGUCCCAAAAACAAGCAGAAUUUUUUCUUUCUCAACAGGCUUCUUUGCUAAAGAAUGAUGAGACUAAGGCCCUCACUCCAGCUUCCUUGCAGAAGGAAUUAAACAAUUUGUUGAAAUUUAAUCCUGAUUUUGCUGAAGCGCAUUAUCUCAGCUACUUAAACAACCUCCGUGUCCAAGAUGUUUUCAGUUCAACACACAGUCUCCUCCAUUAUUUUGAUCGUCUGAUUCUUACCGGAGCCGAAAGCAAAAGUAAUGGGGAAGAGGGCUAUGGCCGGAGCUUGAGAUACGCCGCUCUGAAUCUUGCCGCCCUGCACUGCCGCUUCGGUCACUAGUAAGUUUAUAGACCU